AUUUAUUUAUUAAUUUGUUUUUUUUUUAUUGAUUAUUAAUAAAAAUAAUUUUGAUAUUUUUAGUUUUAGUAAUGUAUAAUGAAAUAAUAUUUUUAAUUAUAGUGUAUUAGUAUUGUAAAAGAAUAUUGAAAUAAUUUGAAAAAUUUUUAUUUUAAAAGAAAAUUUUAUUUAUUGUACCUUGUGUAUCAGGGUUUAUUAAAUAAUGAAUUAUUAUAUUAAUUUUUCUCGAAUUUUAAAGAUUUAAUUGUAUAUAAAAGUUAUUGUAGAAUAACUAUUUUAAAUAUAUAAUUAGAAAUGAAAUGUUAAUCGUUUUAAAAUAUAUCUAGUUUUUUAAGAAAUAAAUUUAAUUUAGUUUAUUUAUUUUAUUAAAUUAAUUUUUUAAUUUAAUAAAUGAAUAAAAUAAUAUUUUAAGGGAUAAGCUUUAAAAUAAAUUUUUAUAUUUUUAAUAAUUAAAAAAUAAUUAUAAGCUUAAAAAUAGCUAUUAUUAAUAAAUUUGUUAUAAUUUAUUUUUUAUUUAAAAUUAUUUAUUUUUAAAUUAAAUUUUUUAUUAAAAUAUAAUUUUUAAUUAAUUAAAAUUAUAAAUUAUGAUAAAAUUAGUAUAUAAAUUUAUAUAAUAUAGUUAAUUUGAUAGGUUUAAAUGAAGAAUUCGGCAAAUUAAAUAUGUUCACCUGUUUAACAAAAACAUGUCUUUUUGAUUUAUAUAUAAAGUCUAGCCUGCCCACUGAAUUUUAAAGGGCCGCGGUAUUUUGACCGUGCGAAGGUAGCAUAAUCAAUAGUCUUUUAAUUGAAGGCUGGUAUGAAUGGUUGCAUGAGAUAUAUACUGUUUUUUUUAAAAUUUUAUAGAACUUUAUUUUUUAAUUAAAAAGUUAAAAUAUAAUUAAAGGACGAGAAGACCCUAUAGAUCUUUAUUUUUAUAAAUUAUAAAUUAUAAAGAAUAUUAAAAUUUAUAUUUUUGAUAAAAUUUUACUGGGGUGGUGUUAAAAUUUAAUAAACUUUUAUUUAUUAUUUACAUUGAUUUAUGAACUUUAGAUCCUAUAUUAUGGAUUAAAAAAUUAAGUUACCUUAGGGAUAACAGCGUAAUUUUUUUAGAGAGUUCAUAUCGAUAAAAAAGAUUGCGACCUCGAUGUUGGAUUAAGAGUUAUUUUUAGGUGUAGAAGUUUAAAGUUUAGGUCUGUUCGACCUUUGAAUUCUUACAUGAUCUGAGUUCAAACCGGCGUAAGCCAGGUUGGUUUCUAUCCUUAAUUAAUUAUUAUAUUGUAGUACGAAAGGACCUAAUAUAAAAAAUAUAAUUUUAAUUUAUUUGAAAAUUAAUAAUUUUGUUU
rnacentral:rRNA from 1 species